rnacentral:rRNA from 1 species
AGCAGCCGCGGUAAUUCCAGCUCCAAUAGCGUAUAUUAAAGUUGUUGCAGUUAAAAAGCUCGUAGUUGAAUUUCGGGAUCAAUAUGUUGGUCGUGCCUUGGUACGUACUAAUUUAUUGGUUUCUUCCUUCUGACGAACCAUGAUGUCAUUAAUUUGGUGUCUUGGGGAAUCAGGACUAUUACUUUGAAAAAAUUAGAGUGUUUAAAGCAGGCUCACGCUUGAAUACAUUAGCAUGGAAUAAUGAAAUAGGACGUUUGAUUCUAUUUUGUUGGUUUCUAGGAUCGACGUAAUGAUUAAUAGGGAUAGUUGGG